AUUGAACGCUGGCGGAAUGCUUUACACAUGCAAGUCGAACGGCAGCACGGGGCAACCUGGUGGCGAGUGGCGAACGGGUGAGUAAUACAUCGGAACGUGCCCAAUCGUGGGGGAUAACGUAGCGAAAGUUACGCUAAUACCGCAUACGAUCUACGGAUGAAAGCGGGGGAACGCAAGACCUCGCGCGAAUGGAGCGGCCGAUGUCAGAUUAGGUAGUUGGUGGGGUAAAGGCUCACCAAGCCAACGAUCUGUAGCUGGUCUGAGAGGACGACCAGCCACACCGGAACUGAGACACGGUCCAGACUCCUACGGGAGGCAGCAGUGGGGAAUUUUGGACAAUGGGCGAAAGCCUGAUCCAGCCAUUCCGCGUGAGUGAAGAAGGCCUCGGUGUAAGACUCUUCGUACGGGAACGGAAAGUAC
rnacentral:rRNA from 1 species